rnacentral:lncRNA from 13 species
AUGCUGUCUUAUAGUCAUCGUGUCUCUCUUCAACAGGAGAACAUGAUGUGUCUCUCUUCAACAGGAGAACACGAACGUGUCUCUCUUCAACAUGAGAACAGGAACGUGUCUCUCUUCAACAGGAGAACACGAUCGUGUCUCUCUUCGACAGGAGAACAUGAUCGUGUCUCUCUUCAACAGGAGAACAUGAUGUCUCUCUUCAACAGGAGAACACGAACGUGUCUCUCUUCAACAGGAGAACAUGAUCGUGUCUCUCUUCAACAGGAGAACAUGAACGUGUCUCUCUUCGACAGGAGAACAUGAU